UGUGCUAUGGCUCAGUGGUAGAGCAUUCGCCUAGCAUGUGCAAGGCCCUGGGUUCAAUCCUCAGCACCACAU
rnacentral:tRNA from 1 species